AAAACGAACAUUAACGACGCUCGUAUAAUCGCGGGAAUAUGGCUCGCAAGUCUCUACCAGAUUGCCGUAAACAAUCUGACUACGGGUGAAAGCAUGACUGAU
rnacentral:ncRNA from 2 species